UAUAUCGGGGUAGAGGUGUAUAAGUUAUUUAAUCAGCUCUAACAAUUACUUGAGGCUGUAAAUUGAUGAGUGUCUAUACAGCUCUUCAGUGGUCUGAUUGGCUUAUACAUUUUUAGCUGAAAGCAAAACCUUUCCCUAGGUGAGACAUAUGUUACUUGAUGAGUUAAUUUAUACUUAAUCUCUUUGAUCAGUUUGGCAUUUUUUUUGUAGCCAGCAUUUGCUAUAUCAGGCAUAUUAUGUAUGGUGGCCAAUAAUAUCCUGUGGAUCCUCUGUCCUUCAUAUCUUGGUCUUAUCUAACCUUGUUUUGGUCAGGUCUUACUUCCUUUACUUCUCCAGAUUGGUCUAGCCAGGGGAACUUCUCAGGCCUACCGAAUCAAGGCAGUCUGGACUGGAGUCCUUUGGAAUGAUCAGACAGAGUGAAGAAUUGAACUUGGGGUUCUCACCUCCCAGUGAGUGUCCUAACCAGUGGACUAAAAGUUAUAAGCUGGGUGGCGGUGGCUCCUCUUCUGUCCAGAUUCUGAAUGGGAGUCAUUCUGGUCAAGUGUUCCUACAACUGGGGCCAAUGGACAAAUUCACCACUUCCAUAAGUAGAUAUAGCCUCACUGACUUCAGCAGAAUUGGGCUUUCUUUCAUGAGAAGGAAAUUUGGUCCAUUGUGUUUACUUAUGGUUAUUUAUUUUGACUUACUAAGUGCCUCUCAGAGCCUCUAAGCACUGUACACUGUUAGAACUAGCCAGUACAAAAUGAAACAUUCACAACAUAGGUAGCAAGUGACCCAUGCAAUGUAUUUUAUUUGCUUGUCUGAAUAAUAAAAAUCCCCUCUACAUUUACACACAGUAGCUCUUAAAUCACUCAACUCCCAAAUGCCUAGGACAAUAGAUGAGCUUUGCAGACAAAUCUGGGUUCUGGCAGACCAGUAAUGUGGAGGGGCAAAUUGUAGAGGCAAGGACCACACUUAUAAAAUGUACCCGCAGCAGCCCCUUUCCUUUUCAAUUGGGGCUCACGCAUUUCU